rnacentral:tRNA from 1 species
GCGGGUAUAGCUCAGUUGGUAGAGCACAACGUUGCCAACGUUGCUGUCGCCAGUUCGAGUCUGGUUACCCGCU